GACGAACGCUGGCGGCGUGCCUAAUACAUGCAAGUUGAGCGAUGAAGAUUGGUGCUUGCACCAAUUUGAAGAGCAGCGAACGGGUGAGUAACGCGUGGGGAAUCUGCCUUUGAGCGGGGGACAACAUUUGGAAACGAAUGCUAAUACCGCAUAAUAACUUUAAACAUAAGUUUUAAGUUUGAAAGAUGCAAUUGCAUCACUCAAAGAUGAUCCCGCGUUGUAUUAGCUAGUUGGUGAGGUAAAGGCUCACCAAGGCGAUGAUACAUAGCCGACCUGAGAGGGUGAGCGGCCACAGUGGGACUGAGACACGGCCCAAACUCCUACGGGAGGCAGCAGUAGGGAAGCUUCGGCAAUGGACGAAAGUCUGACCGAGCAACGCCGCGGGAGUGAAGAAGGGUUUCGGAUCGUAAAACUCUGUUGGUAGAGAAGAACGUUGGUGAGAGUGGAAAGCUCAUCAAGUGACGGUAACUACCCAGAAAGGGACGGCUAACUACGUG
rnacentral:rRNA from 1 species